rnacentral:rRNA from 1 species
CGCUUCGCCUAUAAGAGAAUAACUGCGGUGUUGCUCUCGGGUGCGAUCAUACCAGCACUAA